rnacentral:lncRNA from 1 species
ACAAUUCCUGCCCAUCAACUCCCGCUUUCGAGUGAUAAGGUAGGUGACAUUGGUACCUGUCUGUAUGCAUGUCCAUCUGUCUAUGCAUGUAUGUGCACGUACAACUGUACUGAAAGUGUGCAUGUCACACCUACUGGAGUUUAUGCGUUACCCCCCAAAGGUAUAACCUGGCGGGCGGGGGGGGCCCAUACGUACCUGGAGCCCUGAUGUGGGGCUGAGCCCAAGGUCCAGCCGAUUAUGCUACAUGCACGGCACCAUGUGCAUAAGGCAGGCACGGUUUUGGCCAAGUCGACCGGGCAGACACGAAACACGGCUGAAACACGAAACGCGGCGUGCUGUUGACAAUAGUUACCUUACCUCUCAUUUGCGUCAGUUUCCCGUCCGUCCGUCCGUCUGUUUGUUUGUUUGUUUGUUUGUCCGUCUGUCCGUCCUCGGGUUGCGUUUGAGAGCCUCCCUGGCACCCCCCGGAGGUGGCCCCUUGAGGGGUCUGCGUUAGCACACGUGUGUACACGUAGGCGAGUUGGUGAGGUCGCUACACAGCGUGUGAACGCCACUCUCCACUGUCAUCACCCACCGCCCGACAUACCUACAUAUAUACAUAUAUAUAUAUACAUCCUGCCUGCCUGCCUAGCUCCGCAUCACCCACACAUGGGGACGAUAUCCCACCCUAGACAUGACCUAUCUAUGCACACACACCCUCGAUCUACGCACCCACCACACCUCCCAACCUGACCUAAUACUGCCAUAUUGUCAUUCAUUCAUAUAUUCAGGUACGGCCUGAGCAUGCCCAGCAGUGGACCUUGCAUCGUCAACACCAACUCCCUGUUGUCGUACUUCGGUGUCAAUGCGUCCACGGGUACGACAGUCGGCUACCUGUUUGCCUACCUAGCUGCGAUACAUUUGAUCACGUACGUUGCCCUGCGCCGUGCGGUGAUGUCGAAAUGGAGACGGAUGCAAGACG